rnacentral:lncRNA from 1 species
AAAAGGUAGGACACAAUGGGAUGAAUGGAAUGGUGGAGUGAAUGUAAAACUUCUUAGGCGGUUCGCCUCUUGAAGUCAUAUAGAAGAUGACUCAAGUGCGUCCUUUGGAAUAAGCAAUGAGCAAUAGCAACAUAAACAACAAAUGGUACCGGAUGCCACUCAAUGGACUUACUCCAAUCCCACAAAACAAAACGAAAACG